UGGGCUGCAAUUCGGUCACGGAGCGGGCGUAAUAGUCUACUCAGACCCGUCGAUCUUCUUGACCAAAUUCAUUUCCUGGUAGUGGGUCGUCUUGCCCGUGUUGUCGUUCUUGAUCGAGUAACGCGCAGUCCCGUCCUCGGCCUCGUAGACCUUCUCAAUCACACCGGUAAAGUGUGCAACGUUCUCCUCAGCGCCGCCAAUGGGGCGG
rnacentral:misc_RNA from 1 species